AUAGAAGGAAGGAUUUGGGGUGUUUGUUGUUGAAGGUUGACUUAUAAUAUGAUGAGAAAACCGGACUAUCUAAGUACGAUAGUGAAUAAUUCGAAUUAACGUUCCCACGGUGAUGUCAUAACGAUCACCUCGCACCUUCUUCCGACGCACAACUGGACGAUACAGAUUCAUAGAACCUAACCUCAUGGCCGCUAGGUUAUUUAGCGUCCCUCUUUCCUACAAUCAGUGACUACAAUCCAGAAGUUAACUGCGAGAAUGAGUUCAUUAAAAAGACUCGAUACUACUAACACAUGAUAGUAUUUGUAUAUACAUAUUAACUGAAAACUACAAAUUUUGAAUUUUUAAAUUAUGAAUGAUUAUAUAAUUAAAAAUAUUCUAUUUUAGAAGGAAAUAUAUUUAAUGUAAAAAUAAUGGAAAGUGAUGUAUAGUGAUCGCGUGUUUCUGUGGUGACACAUUGACCUAAUUUGAUCUGUCACUUCUAAAGGGCUUUAAACUGAACGCGUUACUUUAGAAUUCAUUAUGCCCUUAUUUAUGCAGUUGUAAAUGGUUUUUGAAAAUUAUAAACAUUAUAUAAACAGUAAAGUAAUGAACGCUACAUGAUAUAACGUUAA